rnacentral:rRNA from 1 species
CGGAUGAACGCUGGCGGCGUGCUUGAUACAUGCAAGUCGAACGGAGAGUGUAGCAAUAUACUCUUAGUGGCGAACGGGUGAGUAACGCGUUGGUGACCUGCCCCGAAGCGAGGGAUAACAGUUCGAAAGAACUGCUAAUACCUCAUGUGAUCACCGGUUUUAGAAUCUGGUGAUUAAAGGUGAAAAUCACUUCGGGAGGGGCCUGCGUCCCAUCAGCUAGUUGGUAGGGUAAUGGCUUACCAAGGCGAUGACGGGUAGGGGACCUGAGAGGGUGGCCCCCCACAAUGGAACUGAAACACGGUCCAUACACCUACGGGUGGCAGCAGUAGGGAAUAUUGCAAAUGGGCGAAAGCCUGAUGUAGCAACGCCGCGUGUGCGAUGAAGGUCUUCGGAUUGUAAAGCACUUUUUGGAGGAUGAGGAAGGACGGUACUCUCAGAAUAAGUCUCGGCUAACUACGUG